AGGACCGUAGCUCAGUUGGUUAGAGCGCCACGUUGACAUCGUGGAGGUCACCAGUUCGAAUCUGGUCGGUCCUACCA
rnacentral:tRNA from 5 species